rnacentral:rRNA from 1 species
CAGCAGCCGCGGUAAUACGAAGGGUGCAAACGUUGCUCGGAAUUAUUGGGCGCAAAGCGCACGUAGGCGGCUCCGCAAGUCGGAUGUGAAAUCCCUCGGCUUAACCAAGGAAGUGCAACCGAAACUGCAGAGCUUGAGUACUUAAGAGGAUCGCGGAAUUCCCGGUGUAGAGGUGAAAUUCGUAGAUAUCGGGAGGAACACCAGUGGCGAAGGCGGCGAUCUGGGAAGAUACUGACGCUGAGGUGCGAAAGCGUGGGGAGCAAACAGGAAUAGAUACCCCCGUAGUCCCUGUCUCUUAUAC